UACGUAGGGGGCGAGCGUUGUCCGAAGUUACUGGGCGUAAAGCGCGCGUAGGCGGUCAUUUAAGUCUGAGGUGAAAGGUUCAGCGCUCAACGUGAACAGUGCCUUGGAUACUGGGUGACUUGAGUUCGGGAGGGGGCAGUGGAAUUCCAGGUGUAGCGGUGAAAUGCGUAGAUAUCUGGAGGAACACCGAUGGCGGAGGCAGCUGCCUGGCCCAGAACUGACGCUGAGGUGCGAAAGCGUGGGGAGCGAACGGG
rnacentral:rRNA from 1 species